rnacentral:rRNA from 1 species
AUGAUCCCCCCGAAUCGCACCCCCAUCUUCCUCGGCCCAAAUCCCAAUGAAUCUCGCACCGAGUCAAGGGACACAAGAAUCACGAAUCCCCAAGUAUAUUCAUCAACAAUACGGGAAGAAACCCCCAGCCCCGGUGGUCCGGCCAUGGACACGGACCCGCUGCUACCCACCACCGCGCGGCUGCCCCUCCACCCGUUGCUGGAACACACGCUGGUCUCCAACUUCGAUGCGCCACCCUCAUCGCGCUGCCCGUCCCCGGCAUCCUCCUACAAGGACAACCUCAUCUUCAGGCCUCACCCCCAUCGCCGCCACCCUCGCCUCCUCCCCCGCUGCCGCCACACCACUACCGCCGUGACUUCGAUCCAAAUCAGAGGCACAUGA